GAAUGAUGAAUAAAAUGUUUAAGACAAGGUGUUCAUAUAUUGCUACCCUUUACUCCCCCAAAAUGUUUUCUAAUAACUAUAUAAUAGGAAGACUUUUAUGUAAGACUAUCUACAGUAUCAGAUCAUUACAAUUCCUGUACACCAAGGACAAGCAGUACAGUACAACUCUCAAAUGCAAAAGUAAGAUGCAUUUCUGCCCCCAGGGGACACUGCCAUUUUCACAAGAGAAGAAAGAAGGAUUCAGUGCCUUCUUUGCUUGUGGACUUCCUUUAUUGUUGACUUUUGAUCUAGAGGUUGGUUGAUCUGUUCCUGUCCUCCUGACUAGGCCUCAAAGGACAGGGAGUGGACACUGGCAGCAGCAUCCAUUCGUUCCUGUAGAAAUUAGAAACAAGGAGCUUAUUGCCCUGCUCGCUCCAAAGCAUCAGGAGAGGAGACAGAGCAAGUCUAAAGGUUUUGGAGUUGGAAGGAACCUGUCUCCUCCUGGCCCUGUGACCUGGAGAUCCACAGAAGUACAGAAGCAACACAAAGGAGCGGAAAGAAAGUAUACUUCUUUACUGAAAGCAAAUGGUGUGACCAACUUCUAGCAUAUGGAAGCAUUUCCAUACUGCAAGUUAUUCUGAGAAAAAAAAUAUGAUUUCCAAUUCUGUCAAAUGAAAUAUGCAUUUCCAAAUACUACUAGGAUGACCAAACACAUCCUUGUACGUAAGACAUGUCCUGCAGACAUUAAAAAAAUCAUUCAUGGGUAUAAAUGAGGAGGUAGAUCAUGAUGAUGAAAGUGCAAGUAGCUCUUUCCAACAUUCUCAAUCCAGAAGUCCUGCUGCUGCUGCUGCUUCUAUAACAUCAGCAUCACAAAGGGUUGCCCAAUCAACAUCCUCACGUAACCAAAUAUUGCAACCACCUGUAUACAAAAAGACUCUCAAUAGCUUAAUUUGUAGACAAGAUGACAGCUGAAGAUCAAGAAAAAAUUAAAUCAAGCUCUUUCAAGAGCAAUAUAUUCUUCUGGGACGCCACUUUCAGUAACUUAAAAUGCAUACUGGCAGGAAGCUUUUAAAUUACCGAGACCAUCAUACAAUUUGCCCAGCAGACAUUCCUUGAGCAAGCCUCUUUUAGCGUCAGAAUGUGAACAUGUAAUGCAAUCUGUGCAAGGAAAACUCAACGAAGCACUGUGUCUUGUGGUACUUGCAGAUGAAUGGACAAAUGUGCAGGAAGAAGGAAUCAUAAACUUUGUGAUAACAACACCUCAACCAUUUUUUUUUUUUUUUAGAGAAGCAUUGAAACAGAAGAGAACAGGCACACUGCAGAGUACAUCAGUAGUAAAAUAUGUGAAGUCCUACAGAAGAUUGGGAGUGGUAAAGUAUUUGCUUUGCUGACUGACAAUGCAAGUAACAUGAAAGCAGCAUGGGGGAUAAUAAUGGAUAAAUAUCAACAUAUUACUGCAAUAAGAUGUGCAUCCCCUGGGCUAAAUUUGCUUCUUAAUGACAUCAUGAAGUUGCACACUCUGCAAAAGAUCUAUAGACAAGGAGAAGGAGUUAUAAAACAUGUAAAAGCUACUCACAUUGUAGCUGUAGUGUUUAAAAAGAAGCAGGAGGAAAAGAAUGCCAAUAAUAAAAUAGUGACACUCAAACUCUGUAGUAAAACUAGAUGGGGUGGAGUGGUGAUCUCAUUUGAAAGUUUGCUAAAAAACAAAUAAGCUCUU